rnacentral:rRNA from 1 species
UACGAAGGGAGCGAGCGUUGUUCGGAAUCACUGGGCUUAAAGCGUACGUAGGCGGCUAUACAAGUCAGGAGUGAAAUCCCGGGGCUUAACCUCGGAAUGCCUUUUGAAACUGUAUAGCUUGAGUGCAGGAGAGGAAAGCGGAAUUCCUAGUGUAGCGGUGAAAUGCGUAGAUAUUAGGAGGAACACCAGUGGCGAAGGCGGCUUUCUGGACUGUAACUGACGCUGAGGCACGAAAGCGUGGGGAGCAAACAGG